rnacentral:rRNA from 1 species
UACGUAGGGGGCAAGCGUUGUCCGGAAUCAUUGGGCGUAAAGCGCGUGUAGGCGGUUCGGUAAGUCUGCUGUGAAAGUCCGGGGCUCAACCCUGGGAUGCCGGUGGAUACUGUCGGACUAGAGUACGGAAGAGGCGAGUGGAAUUCCCGGUGUAGCGGUGAAAUGCGCAGAUAUCGGGAGGAACACCAGUGGCGAAGGCGACUACCUGGCCUGUUUCUUGACGCUGAGGCGCGAAAGCUAGGGGAGCAAACGGG